CCUUAUGAUGCUCUUUGAUUAACUUUCGUUCUUCCGCAAUGACUUAAUUGUCAUGGGGUCAACUUUUUUAUUUUACUGAAG
rnacentral:snoRNA from 1 species